rnacentral:misc_RNA from 1 species
GACACCACUCGCCGGCCCCGCCCGUUGCUCUUCAUAGGCGUCGGGGAGGUUGCGCGCGGACUCUGCGUGUUCCGGACGUCGUCAAAAAACGUCCGAGUGCACCGAACUUCGUGAACGAAACUUCUACCGCCCUUGCUGCACAGAGUUGUUGACGGCGUUCGCUUCGGCGGCGACUCUCGACUCGUUUAUUGCUCCAAGUAUAUCGGUAGGGGCGAUUCCGGUUGCGCCUCCGCCACUCCGGGUGGCGGAGCCCCCCACUACUUUCG